CAAAAAGAGAGGCUGAGAGGCUGAGGAAAGACUGAAAGAGAGCUCUUAGUCCAGCUGGAGUCAAUGAAGAGAGAGAGUCAUUGCCAGAGAGUGAUAAAGGGUGCAGCCACCUUCACCCACAGCUAACUCAAACUGUGUUGAAAUGGGGAUUGAUGCCGUGAUGGAAACAAUCAAGUGGAGCGGCUCACACUGCAGCCGAUUUCAA
rnacentral:lncRNA from 1 species